rnacentral:lncRNA from 1 species
AUGACAACGAUCCUUCAGAGCCAAAUGGUGUUGUCCGCAUGUAACUGUGACUGGAUGCUUCAAAGCAGUGCUCUCUUCUCUAGGCAUACGUAUCAGGUGAAUAGAGAAGAUAUAGAAGAGGUCCUUGGUUUCCGAAUUGCCACUGGAUUGCCUCUAUCAAAUAUCCAAGAGUUUCAUGAGUGGGAAAUAACCUUCUGUUGCUUUAAAUCUUGGGUUGUGCAAUGCAUCAGUGAGCCUACCAUGACUAAUACAUCCUAUGAAUGUAGAUUUCUCUUCUCUAGCCACUGACAUGAGUGUGCAUUCUGGAUGCAG